UACGUAGGGUGCGAGCGUUGUCCGGAAUUAUUGGGCGUAAAGGGCUCGUAGGCGGUUUGUCGCGUCGGGAGUGAAAUCCACUGGCUUAACUGGUGGCUUGCUUUCGAUACGGGCAGACUGGAGGUAUGCAGGGGAGAACGGAAUUCCUGGUGUAGCGGUGAAAUGCGCAGAUAUCAGGAGGAACACCGGUGGCGAAGGCGGUUCUCUGGGCCUGAUCUGACGCUGAGGAGCGAAAGCGUGGGGAGCGAACAG
rnacentral:rRNA from 1 species